CGCGAACCAUCGAGUCUUUGAACGCAAGUUGCGCCCGAGGCCACCCGGUCGAGGGCACGCCUGCCUGGGCGUCAC
rnacentral:rRNA from 1 species